GGUAGGGAGGAACGAAGGCCGGAGGAAGACAAGCGUGACUUCGCGUAUCCUCCGAACGACCGAGGGUCGCGGAGGCUGCAAGGAGGAAAAUCCGUGGAAGACGUAGGUGGCGGUACUGUGAUUACGCGAAAAACCUUCUACCUGCGGAGUUAAGAUGGACCGACACGCUCGAAGGAGUCUCUGACGCGUCGCAUCCGCAACUGUGCUCUUACGCAACGUUCCGCGCGGCACGUUUCUCGCUCCGCAUUAUUGUUACUUUCGUGCCUGUCGUCUGUUCUUCCAAGUGUCGUCGUCGUCGUCAUCGUCGUCGUUGUCGUCGUCGUUGUCGUCGUCGUCGUCGUCAUCCACUUGUUGUACCUAGAAUCGCGAUUACUCAGCAGUACGUGAGAGGCUCUCACGAGGUCGACCUUGAGGAAGAUUGAGUUCAACACGGUGAAGAGGGAAACUGGCGCCAAGAAGAUCUCGCUACAGCCACUCAUUAUUUCAGUCCGCAAUGAGACUCGGCUACAUAAUCGCGAGUCGGUUGAGAGCCGGCAAGACGCGAGAUACGAGUCAAAGAAGGAAGAAGAGAAGCUGCCGGCUCGCCUUAUACGAGGCGCGAAUCUCGCGGCAUGAAAUCGCCGCGACGAGAGAAAACCUACGGGGCUUUAUAAUGGGUCGGGGCCGGGUGGGUUCUCAGGACGAGCCACGGGGAGAAAGAGAGAAAGAGAGAACAGGUGCGUGACGUCAGGUGGGCAGUACUUCAGGGCCGCGCGAAUGAGGCCCCUCGCUACUUUUCACUGAAACAGAUCGUCGGUCAAACGGCGCCGCCGCGUGCACCUCAACGUGCUGCAACCUCAUCUACGGUGUACUCUAUUUCUUAUAUCCGCAUUAACUGUGAUAUCAGUAGCGUAACGCAAAUAAAAUUGUUAUAAAAUUAUAUUGACAUGUGGAUUUUAGAUGAGCAAUCAAAAAAAUGAAAAGUUAUCUCUCUACUCAAUUCUGAUCUCUUAAGAGAG